rnacentral:rRNA from 1 species
CCUACGGGUGGCAGCAGUCGAGAAUCAUUCACAAUGGGGGAAACCCUGAUGGUGCGACGCCGCGUGGGGGAAUGAAGGUCUUCGGAUUGUAAACCCCUGUCAUGUGGGAGCAAAUUAAAAAGAUAGUACCACAAGAGGAAGAGACGGCUAACUCUGUGCCAGCAGCCGCGGUAAUACAGAGGUCUCAAGCGUUGUUCGGAAUCACUGGGCGUAAAGCGUGCGUAGGCUGUUUCGUAGGUCGUGUGUGAAAGGCGCGGGCUCAACCCGCGGACGGCACAUGAUACUGGGAGACUAGAGUAAUGGAGGGGGAGGCGGAAUGCUUGGUGUAGCAGUGAAAUGCGUAGAUAUCGAGAGGAACACUCGUGGCGAAGGCGGGUUACUGGACAUUAACUGACGCUGAGGCACGAAGGCCAGGGGAGCGAAAGGGAUUAGAUACCCUUGUAGUC